rnacentral:tRNA from 1 species
GCGACCGUAGCUCAGUUGGUUAGAGCGUUGGAUUGUGGAUCCAAAUGUCGCGGGUUCGAACCCCGUCGGUCGCC